UAGGGAAUCUUCCACAAUGGGCGGAAGCCUGAUGGAGCAACGCCGCGUGUGUGAUGAAGGGUUUCGGCUCGUAAAACACUGUUGUAAGAGAAGAAUGACAUUGAGAGUAACUGUUCAAUGUGUGACGGUAUCUUACCAGAAAGGAACGGCCAAAUACGUGCCAG
rnacentral:rRNA from 1 species